UUGCUCUUCAACGAGGAAUGCCUAGUAAGCGCAUGUCAUCAGCAUGCGUUGAUUACGUCCCUGCCCUUUGUACACACCGCCCGUCGCUACUACCGAUUGAAUGGCUCAGUGAGGCCUUCGGACUGGCCCAGGGAGGUCGGCAACGACCACCCAGGGCCGGAAAGUUGGUCAAACUCGGUCAUUUAGAGGAAGUAAAAGUCGUAACAAGGUCUCCGUAGGUGAACCUGCGGAGGGAUCAUUACUGAGUGAGGGCCUUCGGGCUCGACCUCCAACCCUUUGUGAACACAACUUGUUGCUUCGGGGGCGACCCUGCCGUUUCGACGGCGAGCGCCCCCGGAGGCCUUCAAACACUGCAUCUUUGCGUCGGAGUUUAAGUAAAUUAAACAAAACUUUCAACAACGGAUCUCUUGGUUCUGGCAUCGAUGAAGAACGCAGCGAAAUGCGAUAAGUAAUGUGAAUUGCAGAAUUCAGUGAAUCAUCGAAUCUUUGAACGCACAUUGCGCCCCUUGGUAUUCCGAGGGGCAUGCCUGUUCGAGCGUCAUUUCACCACUCAAGCCUCGCUUGGUAUUGGGCGCCGCGGUGUUCCGCGCGCCUCAAAGUCUCCGGNCUGAGCUGUCCGUCUCUAAGCGUUGUGAUUUCAUUAAUCGCUUCGGAGCGCGGGCGGUCGCGGNCCGUUAAAUCUUUCACAAGGUUGACCUCGGAUCAGGUAGGGAUACCCGCUGAACUUAAGCAUAUCAAUAAGCGGAGGA
rnacentral:rRNA from 1 species